rnacentral:tRNA from 1 species
AAACCCUUAGCUCAGUUGGUAGAGCAACUGACUCUUAAUCAGUGGGUCUAGGGUUCGAAUCCCUAAGGGU